AUUGAACGCUGGCGGCAUGCUUUACACAUGCAAGUCGAACGGCAGCGCGGGCUGCGGCCUGGCGGCGAGUGGCGAACGGGCGAGUAAUGCAUCGGAACGUGCCCAGCAGUGGGGGCUAGCCCGGCGAAAGCCGGAUUAAUAUCGCAUACGACCUGAGGUUGAAAGCGGGGGACCGAAAGUCCUCGCGCGAUUUGAGCGGCCGAAGUCGGAUUAGCUAGUUGGUGGGGUAAAGGCUUACCAAGGCGACGAUCCGUAGCAGGUCUGAGAGGACGACCAGCCACACUGGAACUGAGACACGGCCCAGACUCCUACGGGAGGCAGCAGUGGGGAAUUUUGGACAAUGGGGGCAACCCUGAUCCAGCCAUGCCGCGUGCGGGAUGAAGGCCUUCGGGUUGUAAACCGCUUUUAUUCGGGAAGAACUCCUCUGGACUAAUCCCCCGGGGGCAUGACGGUACCGGAAGAGUAAGCCCCGGCUAACUACGUG
rnacentral:rRNA from 1 species